rfam:Pleomorphobacterium xiamenense strain CGMCC 1.10808 genome assembly, contig: Ga0079883_109
GAUCCGGGAGCGACGGCGGUGGGACGCCGACGCAGCAUGGGAUCCGCAAACCUGAGGCGGAGCUUCGCGGCCGUUCCCCGGCGGCGCGCGGG